GCAGUAGGUGUGGUCAGUCGGGUC
rnacentral:siRNA from 1 species